rnacentral:rRNA from 1 species
UCCAGACUCCUACGGGAGGCAGCAGUGGGGGAUAUUGCACAAUGGGGGGAACCCUGAUGCAGCGACGCCGCGUGGGUGAAGGAGCGUUUCGGCGCGUAAAGCCCUCUCGGCAGGGAAGAAGGAGGACGGUACCUGACUAAGAAGCCCCGGCUAACUACGUGCCAGCAGCCGCGGUAAUACGUAGGGGGCAAGCGUUAUCCGGAUUUACUGGGUGUAAAGGGGGCGCAGACGGCAGCGCAAGCCAGGAGUGAAAGCCCGGGGCCCAACCCCGGGACUGCUCUUGGGACUGCGCGGCUGGAGUGCAGGAGGGGCAGGCGGAAUUCCUGGUGUAGCGGUGAAAUGCGUAGAUAUCAGGAGGAACACCGGUGGCGAAGGCGGCCUGCUGGACUGCGACUGACGUUGAGGCCCGAAAGCGUGGGGAGCAAACAGGAUUAGAUACCCCAGUA